rnacentral:rRNA from 1 species
UACGUAGGUGGCAAGCGUUGUCCGGAAUUAUUGGGCGUAAAGGGCGCGUAGGCGAUCUGAAAAGUUCUGUGUGAAAGCCCACAUGUUAACUGUGGAAGUGCACAGAAAACUGUUGGAUUUGAGUUCAGGAGAGGAAGGCAGAAUUCCCGGUGUAGCGGUGAAAUGCGUAGAGAUCGGGAGGAAGGCCGGUGGCGAAGGCGGCGCUCUGGAACGUUUCUGACACUGAGGCUCGAAAGCGUGGGGAGCAAACAGGG